UCCGGUCUCCGCAAGGCCGCUUCCUGCUUCGGGGGUUUAAACGCGCAGGCGGCCUCGCGCGUCCCCUGUCUCUUGUCCUGGCCCGGCUUCCGGCGAGGUGCGAGCUGAGGUACAUAAAUGCCAGUUUAUGAUGAAACUCAGAACUUUAUGGAAGGACUACAAAGUUCUGAUUGUUAUGGGAAUUAGCCUUGGCCUGGUGCACUGGUCGUGGUUCCACAUCAAGUCCAGUCCUCUUUUCCAAGUGAAGACAGAGGAGAUUGUUCCAGAACCUGGGAUUGUGACAUACGUAAUGCAAAGUGAUCGCAAAAAUAAGGAAGAAUAACAUCAGGGCUGUGUUUUAGGUAUAAUUAACUUUGAAACAUCACCUGUGAGUAUUGCCAGAAGAGAAGAUGAGGAAAGCUAGCUGGAGUAAAAAGAACUUUCUGCUUGUGGCAGGACUGUCACUUAUAGGUGUCCAUUUUGGAACCAUGCUUGUAAACUUUGUUGCAAAAAAAUCUGCUCGAUCACAUUCAGAAACUAAGAGAGAUGAUCAUCGUGAAUGAAGUAGCUUACAGCUGUCACUAUCAAUUUCACAGUGGGAUUUAAGCCUCAUUUUGAGAUGGCUGGUGUGCAGAAUCAAAUGUACUUAGCAUAUUGUUUUACACUUAAAAUAGUAAUCUUUGUCAGCAAAGAAUAAAAAUGUACUGCUUUAAAGUGCUGUGAAUUCUAGAUCCAAGUAAGAAUGAAAUCAUUUCUGUUUAUCAGAAUUAAAAUCUAAUUUUGAAAAUGUCUCGCCUUGAAGGUAAAAAGCCUUCAUUAUUUACUCGUGAACCUUUAACUACAGUUAGUCAGCCACUGUCUUUGUUAAUUGCAAUAUUAAAAUCUUGCUAUGGGCCUGCUGGUAGACUUAAGCAGAUCCACAAUGGCAUGGGAGGCUAUGUUUGUUUAACUUCACAAUCUUCAGCCAUACUUAGUCAUAUUUCUGUCAGUCACCCUGUAUUAAAGGUUUUGAUGGCCUCUGUACAGAACCAUGUGUCCCGCUUCAGUGACUGUGGCUUAUUUACUGCCAUUCUUUGUUGUAGCUUGAUUGAAAGUUUUAAAAACCUAAAUAUUGCAUCUUGCACUGUCAUAAAAAUAAGCAAACAUCUUUUGAGUUUGUGUACUGACUACCUCAAGUCUGAGGCUUGUGGUUGCCGAGUAUCUGUGGAUUUUAGUAAUCUUGAGACUCUUCUUUGUUUGGUACGUAGCAUAUUAAUAAGCAAACCUGCUUGCAUGCUUAAUAAAACAGAGGUUGAUCAUCUUGCUGUGCUAAUUGUAAAGGCUUUCAUGUUUACUGUUCCAUGCCAUCCUGAAACUAAGCCUAUUUUAGGAAAAUGCGUAACAGUACCUGUGAAAGGUAGAAGAGUUCUAGAUUCUGCAGUUAUUCCUGGACUGUUGAUAGAAACACCAGAAGUUCAAUUUGCAAAACUGUUUUCUGUCAAAAGAAGUAACUCCGACAAUGUAAAGGUAGCAGUUUUCUGUGUGUCCAUGUCAGGAGACCUGUUUGGCCCAGAAGAAGGAACACUAACAGUCCACCACGGAGUUUCUUUAGAAAUGUCAGAGCUGGAUCAGUUGCUUAAUGUAGGAAAGCAGUUGGUUAAUGAUGAAGUUGGCCUUGUAGUGUGCCAGAAAGUUAUCCAUCCAUCAUUGAAAAAGUAUCUGAAAGAUAACCAUGUCAUUGCUGUGGACAGGGCAGGGCUAUCAGUGAUGGAACCCCUGAGUCAAGUGACAGGUUCAAAGCCUAUAGCUUCCAUAUACUCACUGUCUCCCAGUUGUUAUGGCAGUUUGAAGGAUGUGUGUGCCAAGAGUUUUGCCUCCAAACAUUUUGUGCAUCUAAUUCCUAAUGACACGGUUGUUUGCAGCUUGGUACUCUGUAACAGAAAUGAAACAAUUUGGGAUGAACUGAAGCGUGCUUGUGAGACUGCGGAGCAUGUGUUGCAGUUAACACUCAAGGAACCCUUGGCAUUGUUAGGAGGUGGUUGUACUGAAACUCAUUUGGCUUCGUACCUAAGACAAAAGAUUUGCUGUCUGUCCACUAGCAGUUCUAAAGAUGUGGAUUGUUCUCAGUCACAAUACCAGUUGAUCGCUGAUGCGUUUUGUCACUCACUGGAGUCUGUAGCUUGUUCUCUGAGUCAUGAUGAUGGAGAAAUUAUCACUGAUAUGGCUUAUGGACACUGUUGGCUUGUUCCAUCAGGAUUUCCUUCUGUCUCUAAUUGGUCAGAUCUACUUUUGAAAUGUGGCUGCGGAAUAAACAGUAGCACAAAGGAUCUCAGCUGGAGACAUUUGCAACCCCUCUUUGGCUCUCCUCCUAUAGAGAGCUGCCCAAAAGAGCCUUCCAUAAAGGUUGCUGACUUCAUGGCACUGGACUGCUUUGCUGCAAAGUAUAAUGGCCUGCAAGUAGCUGUGGAGACAGCCAAUUUGAUUUUGGAUCUCUCAUGUAUAAUUGAAGAUCAAAAUUAGUUCUGUGAUGUGAAUUGUGUUGUGCAGUCACAUUACUCUGCUUUCAAUUAAGAAUCUAUAACAUAUUAAGGUAUUUGGGAAUGGUUGAUUAUGGAUGACAGACAGAAAUUAAGUCAAAUAGUUGGCCAGUGGCAGCAGAGGGGCAGUCUGACAGAAUGGCAUCGGACAUGGAAGUGGUCGUGGAAUAAAAGGGUGGUACUGAACUCCUCAGUGUGGAAGAAAAUGCAUCCACUGAUACCCACUGCACAGCGAGGUGGUGGGUGGUGUGUUCAGCAGUGGUGACAGCAACACUGGGAUGCCUCUUAUGGGGCAAAUUUCUAUACAGCAUGCAGGCUUUUGUUCACUGCUGGUGAAAGCACAUAAUGUUGAUGACUAUUCAAAAAUAGUGUUUUAUAGCUGAGAAUGUGCUCUGUCAACUAGUGCAAUUGUGCUUGUUGUACCUGCUGUAGUUUCCAUGGAAAUAAAUGGGACACAUUUAUUUUGUAGCAACCUAUGUAAAAACAGAUUUGAGUUCAAGAACUAUCAGUAGCACAACACAGAUAUUUCAAAUGUGAUCAGGCCUUUCUAGGCUAACCAGCCAUUAUAGUUUAGAUCCCUCCCUGUAAGAGAAGAAAGUAUUUAUUGUUGCCAAAAUCUGUAAGAAAAAUAUUUCUUGUUAUGUAAGAAGCACAGUAGAGUAUGUACAAACAAAUUGGUUUACUUUAAAACUGAUCUUUAAACUUCUGCCCUUAAUUUUCUGUGCUGAGUAGCAAAAUGCAGUAUGUCAUGUUUUCAGCAGUGCCAUGUGAAGUGAGUCAUCUGACUACUAAGCUGUUCAGUCUCAGAGAAGUCAACAUCCAUGAGUCAAUGUCAUAGCAAGAAAUCUUUAAACCGGAUUUGUAUUUAUUACUGUUUUGAAGAUGCAGACACGGUCCCUUUAUUGCAAAGAGAUGCCUUCCAUCGUGCUUACAGUAUAUGUGGAGACUGGCUGUGCGAGAGGGCAGUUGCUGCUAAUACAUGACAAUGUUUAUUUAAAUAUUUUUAGUAUUUUUUUAUUUCUACUUGUUUACCAGCAAGGAUGAGCUUCGUGGUACAAAUAACUUUUUGGCCAGUAGUACUACAGUCUUAACUUCUCAAUUAAGAAAUAACUUCACUUUUUGCUGAUAUACCUUGUCCUGGAAAAAUUAGUCAUGCACAUCCCCCCAUUUCUUCUUUAUCCUGGAAGCAGAAAUGUGGUCACAGCCAUGCAUCUUUAGUAAAAACACCAAUAAAACCAAAGGCAGACUAGGUUCCAGCAUUUAGCUGGUGGGCACUUUGUGCCAUUAAUACAUAGAAAUAUCUCAGGUAUAUGUCUCCUGUAGACUUUUAUUUUUCACCUUCCUGCAAACUUCUUUAUUAAGUUAAAGUAUUAAAAGUUGAACUUCCAAAUCUGCUUCCUUGUGAGAAUUGUUUGUCAGAGCUUUCACCAUGCGUUGUGAAGGCCACAGCUGGGCACAGUCUGGUUUUGGCAGACUGCUCAUGUUCUAUUUUGUUUUCUGUUCUGACAGAUCAGUUCUCUUCAGGUUCACAUUACAUACUAGCAUCCUGCUGUUACUAUGAGAUGUUAGCUAAGCGUUUGCUAGGCAGUAGCAUCCCACAACAUCAACAGAUAUUCUUUACCAGUAACUAUUCAUUUUUAUAAGCAGUUAUGUCUUUCACAAAAGCACCUCUUCUUCAACUUUAAAAGCCAUCCUUAGCAUCUCCUCUUUCAGGCUCGUGAUACUGUUAGUCUCAUCUGUUCCACCUGGGGAGGACUGGGUAGAGCAGGUGGGAGGUUGGGGCGGAAUUAGUUUCACAGUCCCUAGCUAUGACUCAGCUCCCCUCUGAGUCAUUGCUUCUGCGUGAGGCUAAGUAGGAACUUGUGCUGAUAAAUAGCGUACUCGAGGGUUAUGACGGAGUGAUUUUCAGGGAAUUGCAGUGACUAUCGUAGUCACAGCUUUUGAAAGACUUUGUGACUUUGAGAGGCUGAAGCAGUGCUGGUGUUGUGCUUUGAUUUAUUGCUCUGGCGUGUGUUAUUACCCUGCUCCUGUGCCAGUGGAUCUGUGGGGGUGGAACGGGGCUGGGGGUGGUGGCAGGACGGGAGGCACAGGGGCCGAUUUGGUGGGAUCAUCCUGACGAGCACACUUUCGAAGGGAAAAUUCUGUGGGGAGUCGCUGGCCAGCUGCCCUCCUGCUCUCCUGACAGGACCAAAGGAGGAGAUAUUCGAGGACGUCGUGUUGAGGGACGUGGUUUAAUGAGAACUAUUGGUGAUAGGUGGAUGGUUGGACUGGAUGAUCUUGUAGGUCUUUUCCAACGUUAGUGAUUCUGCGAAUAUGGUGCGUUUGCUUCUGGCUAGAGAUAAGGCACCUCCUCCUCUUCCCUGUUUCUUACCCUUUUCCCCUCGCGUUUUGCCGCCUGGUGCCGUUUUGUCCGUCCUUAAAUCCACCCGCCCGCAGCACGCUGUGGAAGCAGCCAGAACCUUCUGGAGCCAGCAGGGGGCAGCGCGGCACCCUCACAGAGCCCCACUGCCUGCAGCUCCUCUGAAAUACCCCAGAAGGUGCAUUCGCCUUGUGAGUCCUGCUUCGUUGGUUGUUGAAGAAUGUGGGAAAAACGCUGGUUUUAAAGAAAAUUGCAGGGGGGAACAGUCGAUGUUUGUGUAGAGGGCGCUUCGGGAGGCGUGUGCUGCUCUGAGAUGGCGCCCAGACUCGGGCAAGGCUACAAAGGGUAAAGAGAACCCUAGCUUCACUGGCUUUGAAGGACAUAAAAGUAUGCUUGUUGAUGGCUAUUACUGAAGGCAGACAUGGUGGUACCUGUGGAGAAAUGAGAACUGGAAAUGUGGUUAGUGACUGAGGAGCUUCCUCAGUAGGAAGCCAGCUGUAAGGGAGAAUUUCUCUGAGAAGGGGAAUCCUUUGGGAACUGCUGGGUGUAGGGCUCUGGUUGCGUUCAGUAGGAAAGACCCCCCACACCUACAAAGUUCUGGUUUAAGCACAGUUGGAAGAUCCAAGAGCGUGCACGAAGCAGCAAGAGGAUCAACUCCUGGCCCUUCUGGUAGCACCUGAGUACUGCACGCCGUGAUGCAACUCAAAAAAUAACAGCAAAACCUCACAAGCAAAGAUGUUUGUUUAUUCUGUCUGGGAGAGAACCGACUGGCAUGGAGGAUGGUGAAGAAGGAAACCCUCAUAGCAGGGCAUCACAUCUGGAGGAAGCUGCAGGCAGUGCAGAGAUACCGAACAGACCUGGACUAAACAGGCUGCAGUGACUGAUGCCCAGCUACCACAGAGACUGAAGAAAGAAAAAAGAAACUUGCCCUUUGACCCUCAGUAGACGUCCACUUCUGAAAUAAGGAAGGAAUCUCUAACUACAGUCGGUUCAAAAACUGGACAGAACAUCAUGAAAUGUGAGUCUUUCAGACAUUCCCAAAAUCAUCUCUCUGCAAACACCUGGGAAGUACUCCCUGAGUAACACAUUGCUUCAAACCCUUAGUGCCUCCUUUCGCAGCCUCUGUGGUGGGUGCUUCUUUUCUCUGUGAGCCUAUGAUCUGAACAGGUUCCCAGGAUGCACCUUAAGAGAUCAGUUACGGAUAUUUAUAAUGAUACAAAUAAAACAAAUAAUUCAGUAGGACCAUCAGAAUUAAAGUAAGAUUUCUCUGGCUGUUUGUUGUUGCUGUUGUUGUUUUUAAGAAGUUAUGUUCCCUUUUGAAAUGUGACACAGCAUUCAUUUAACCAUAUGCUUAAUUCUAUUUCUAGAAGAGACAGGAGAUGUAUACUUAUUUGUGUAUUAGAGGCUACCAAGCACAGCUUCUGUCUUAUCUCGAACAUCUAAUACAUCAUCUCUGGACAUGGCUUAGCCAUAGGAAUUCCAAUCAGUUUUCAUCUGCUUGGUGUCACCCAAAAAUGAGAUGUAAGCCUUUCCUACUUCGACUACGUUUCCAUCACCAGAAUUAUGAGACUAGAAAAACUUCUUAAACAUCUUCAGUGUGCAAGCAACAAAACUUUGUCAU